rnacentral:rRNA from 1 species
AACCUCCGCAAUGUGAGAAAUCGCGACGGGGGGAUCCCAAGUGCCAUUCUUAACGGGAUGGCUUUUCAUUAGUGUAAAGAGCUUUUGGAAUAAGAGCUGGGCAAGACCCGGUGCCAGCCGCCGCGGUAACACCGGCAGCUCUAGUGGUAGCAAUUUUUAUUGGGCCUAAAGCGUCCGUAGCCGGUUUAAUAAGUCUCUGGUGAAAUCCUGCAGCUUAACUGUGGGAAUUGCUGGAGAUACUAUUAGACUUGAGAUCGGGAGAGGUUAGAGGUACUCCCAGGGUAGAGGUGAAAUUCUGUAAUCCUGGGAGGACCGCCUGUUGCGAAGGCGUCUAACUGGAACGAUUCUGACGGUGAGGGACGAAAGUUAGGGGCGCGAACCGGGAUUAGAUACCCGGGUAGUCCUAACUGUAAACGAUGCGGACUUGGUGUUGGGGUGGCUUUGAGCUGCUCCAGUGCCGAAGGGAAGCUGUUAAGUCCGCCGCCUGGGAAGUACGGUCGCAAGACUGAAACUUAAAGGAAUU